rnacentral:rRNA from 1 species
AUUGAACGCUGGCGGCAGGCCUAACACAUGCAAGUCGAACGAGUGGCGGACGGGUGAGUAAUGUCUGGGAAACUGCCCGAUGGAGGGGGAUAACUACUGGAAACGGUAGCUAAUACCGCAUACCAUCGGAUGUGCCCAGAUGGGAGUAGCUUGUAGGUGAGGUAACGGCUCACCUAGGCGACGAGCCCUAGCUGGUCUGAGAGGAUGACCAGCGAGAGUGGAACGGUGACACGGUCCAGACUCCUAGGGGAGGCAGAAGUGGGGAAUAUGGAAAAAUGGGCGACAGCCUGAUGCAGACAUGCCGGGUGUAUGAAGAAGGCCUUCGGGUUGUAAAGUACUUUCAGCGGGGAGGCGUUACCCGCAGAAGAAGCACCGGAUAACUCCGUGCCAGCAGCCGCGGUAAUAC